rnacentral:tRNA from 1 species
AACAAGGUAGUUAACAUAUAGAAUAAAAAUUUUGCGUAUUUUAGGUGAGUGUUAGUCACUCCCUUGUUA